ACAGUACACAGCCGCCGGCGUGCUCAGGCGGGCGCCGGUCUGUCGCCGGGAGGCCGCCUGGCCCCGGUGCCCAGCAGGACUGCUGUCCUGCCAUUUCCUCUGGCUCACGUGCUAGACACUGUCCUUUUCUCAAAUUAAGUAUGAAUUAAGCUUUCUGUAAGUGCUUGCCUUCUGCUAAUAACGGAGUCUGCUACUUGUUUGAAGUGGUCAUUUUCUUCUCUGUAGGGACCCAUGAGAGCUGUUUGGCUUCCCUUUGAGCACUGAAAUGCUGAUUGAGUGUCCUGGUUACUUAAAGCCAUGAGCCAUAAUCCGUAACCUGGUUUUAUUUUAAUAUUAGGAUUAAUGUGGCAGAAAACUAACUUGCUUUUAUCACUUAACCCAUUUUCAUUGCUAACUCCAGUGCUCCUAAUGUCACUGACCAGGCUGCUGUAGAUUUGUGAGAAUUACUCUAAAUUCCUUAAGGGGAAGUCCUAUUUCAGACAGAGCGGGCCUCCAGAUGAGAGCGCUUGGGGCGGCCGCUCUUCACGGCCCCCCUCGGUGCUGACCACCGUGUUCCCGCUGAGGGUCCCGUGGCUCAUCUCCGCACAGUCCUCUGCUAGAGGUUUCGGAUCCAGAACACGUGCCCGGGUUUGGAACAUGUCGCUCCUGGCCAGGCUCUGCCUCUGGGUUUCCCUCGUUUGCCCUUGUGGAGGUUCUCACCACUGCUGUUUCCCCAGUGGUCGCCGAAGAGUGCGUGGCCUCCCGGACAUUGUUUCCAGCAAAUGUCGGUCACACGGGGCAACGCUUUUGUAUGUUGAGCUGGUGUCUUUGGAAUUUUGCUUUUACCAGGGAGAGUUGAAUGCAGGAUUAGGUGCCCCAUCAAAACGUUGUAUUAUUUUUCUUUGAAGUUGCAGUAGGUGCAGUUCGAUUAGGUAAUUUUGCAGAUGUUUUGCCAAAUAGUAAUCUUGGGCUUUCUUAUACUCUUACCUUUUGAAUGUAUUUAUUUGGGGGAUUUUCUGUAGCUGGAGUGGUUUGGUGAGGAUACAACAUUUUCUACACAAUAGCAGAGGCCAAAAUUUCAGGGAGGGCGUCUUUUUGACGGUCUUUAUCUGGCGGCCGCCUUGCUUCGGUGUCUCCCAUGCCAAGACAACCAAUCAGCAUCUGCUCUUGCGUUCCCCCAGCGGGCAGUAGUCUAACACAUCAGCGACAGUGGCCAGGCCUCCUCUCCUGCGUCUGGCCACACUGUGUACUGUACUGCCCCUGUGAUUCCUGUCGCCCUGCAUGCCUCGCGUAAAGGGUCACAUCCCUUCCCUGGUCUGUAGACGCCAGGCUGCAGGCUUUGGUUCUCUUGAAUGAAGUUCUGGAGGAACUUUUUCUUGAGACAGUAUUUCUAGGUCAAUCCUGUCGUGCAAUCCCGUAAAAUAAUUUACAUUGCAGAGUUCUGUUACCGUCUUCAAGGCUGAGACUCGGGUGAGGCAGAGCUGGUUUCCGCCCAGUGUGCAGGGCUGGUAGGCGGCUUCCUGUGGGCUUCCUGUGGGGCCUACUGCCGGAAUCACGGGUGCAGAGGGCACAAGCCGUCUCUCCUCUGAGUGCAUUCUUGGCCCUCCUUCCAUUUCACAUUUUCUGUCUCGCUUUGGACAUGCUCACUUAGCACACUCACACGGGGUGUGGGCACCUUUUUACUUGACUCUUGGACACUAGAGGCUCUGCGUCUUCCCCAGAGGCCAUCGCAGGGCUUAUCGGUGGGUGGCGGUGGUCCACGGGAUGAAAAAACGUAGAUCCCAGAUCUUAGGUCAUCCCGUACAGUGUUCCGGACUUUCCUUGAGCCGCAGAAGGGGCCCUUUCUUCUCAGAGAGUCUGAGAUCAAGCAGCAGGCGACUCUGGACCUGCCUGGGGGUAGCGCCUGGGCUGCUGUGCUCACCGCCGGCCCCUGCGGCCCCUGCUCAGACCCGGCCCAGGCCAGCCUUUGCGGGAAGGCCCGGCUCGCUGGUUCUGAGGAGGUGGUGCUGAGCUCUCCCGACUUCAGGCCGGACUUCCAUUUUCAGAGCGUACUGUGCUGGUUUAAGAAGGGGCAAUACAGGCAGUGCGCACACCAGGACUUUUUUCAAGUCUGCCUGACGGAGGUGGAGGUGUCUGUAGCUGAAGGAGCCCCGUGUGGAUGUCGCCUUCAGUCUGGAUGUCUGCACUGCGCCCCAUGUCAGGCUUUGCCCCGGUGUGAGACUGAGCGAUUCAGGCCCUCAGAGUGGGAGUAAGGCGUUCCCUGUGGUGACGAGGCACGUGGUUGAGAGCAGCUGCCACCCGCAUCGUUUACCUGUACACGAUUUGGGUGCCGGGCCAUCCAGACCAACUGGGAACAAACUGGGAGUUUAGGUGCUGAGGCUAGACCCAUCUUCUGUAAUUUCGUAUUUCAACCUGGUGUUCUCUAAAGGUGGCUUCACAGUUCUCACUGGUGCAUGUUAUUCUAGAAACUUGUCACACACUUACAGUGAGAAAGUGCCACCUAGAUUGUAUCUUAUAUUGGAGUUCACUAGAUUUUAGGUUUUUAAAGAAGGAUUUCGGUGCCCUUUAAAAAGUUAACUGCUAUCGCAGGGAGAAGCCUUGUGUUGCCGUGUGGGGCAGGCGCUCCUGCGGCGGGGCGGACGGCAGUCCCGUUCUGUUGGCGUAGCCGUGUGCAGGAGCCCGUGUAUGUGAGGGAGUGUGGUUGGUCCCACCAUUCAGAA